CCCUCCCUCUGGCGGCAUGCCUAACACAUGCGAGUCGAACGAGACCUUCGGGUCUAGUGGCGCACGGGUGCGUACCGCGUGGGAACCUGCCCUUAGGUUCGGAAUAACUCCCCGAAAGGUGUGCUAAUACCGGAUAAUGUCUUCGGACCAAAGAUUUAUCGCCUUUGGAUGGGCCCGCGUUGGAUUAGCUAGUUGGUAGGGUAAAAGCCUACCAAGGCGACGAUCCAUAGCUGGUCUGAGAGGAUGAUCAGCCACACUGGGACUGAGACACGGCCCAGACUCCUACGGGAGGCAGCAGUGGGGAAUAUUGGACGAGGGGCGAAAGCCUGAUCCAGCAAUGCCGCGUGAGUGAUGAAGGCCUUAGGGUUGUAAAGCUCUUUUACCCGGGAUGAUAAUGACAGUACCGGGAGAAUAAGCGCCGGCUAACUCCGUG
rnacentral:rRNA from 1 species